AAAAAAAAAAAAAAAAAGAAAAAGAGAAAGAAAAAGAAAGGAGAAAAAAAGGGGGUGGGGGAAGGAAACAAAUCAAAAAGCAAAACAAAACAAAAACAAAAACAAAAACAAAAACAAACAAACAAAAAAAGAACCUCCGGGGAGUAUCUUCUGAUUCUGUGUACUUUAAGUCCCUUGGCUUCUCCUGGAAGUUGUCCGUCUAGCUGGUGUUCUGGGGGAGGGGCCUGUUGUGCUGAUUUUCAGGUGUUAGCAGUUGGGGGAGCUGCUGUGCCCCUGCCUGGUGCAGGGCUCGGUGGGGGUUGUUUACCCCGUGAGGCCCCAGGAGGAACAGCCCCAGUGGCGGGGCAGCUCUGGAAACCUGGAUUCAGCUCCGGCAGGAACUCCGUCUGCAGGGCCUGGAGGCUCCGGGGCGGGGCCGCUGAUCUGCUCAGCUGGGGCAGGAGCGUCCUCGCUGUCCUGGGCCCUCCCGGCCUCUGCCUGUCCCGGGGGAGGCGGGAUCCUGGGCUGUGUCCCGGCGCCCUGUGCUCCGGAGCCUGCGCUGGUGGAUUCGCGCUCCGGGCCGCGCAGCCCCCUCCGUGGAGCCGCCGCCCGAGCCCCUCCGAGCUGCUCCUGGAACCGCGCAGGCCCCUCCGCACGGAGCCUCUUCCUCUGCCCGAGCCCCUCCGAGCUGCUCCCGGGGCCGCGCAGCCCCCUCCGCGGAGCCGCCGCCCGAGCCCCCCCGAGCUGCUCCGGGUCCCGCCGUGCGCGCUGCAGCCCUUAGGGAGCUCGGCGCACUCUCCCGGGGCGCAGGUGUCUGUUACUGUCCCCGGGAGCCCGAGGGCAUCCCCGCCCCCCUGGGUCCUGCUCCAACUCCCCGCGAGCCCCUUUCCCCCGGGAAGGUCGGUGCAGCUCCUGCUCCUCCGGGACGGGGCUCUCCUGUCCUGGGGACACUCGCCCCGGCCUCAGCCCGGCUCCUCGCGGGCCCCUCCCCCUUGGAGGCCUUUGUUUCUUUAUUUCUUUUUCCCCGUCUUCCUACCUUGA
rnacentral:lncRNA from 12 species